AUUUCUGCCAGGCCUUCAGGAGGGCUCAUGGUACCUCCCUCAUCGCAGAGAAGUGUCUGACUACUGGCACCACAUGGAGCAAAACACAUUUGGUAAAAAAGGAGAUGAACCAAAAGAACAGCUUUUAGAUAUCAUAGAUCACUUGGAUCACAUGUGACUGUCAUAUUCCUGAGUGAGCAUUGCGGAUUUUAGAAACAGUAGUGCCUUUACCUCCUCGAUAAGUACAUGCAGUCCUCAUCUUCAGGACAAGCUGCUUCAUUCCACUCCACCACUGGAGCACUUCACACCCCACUCUGAUGAUGCACAAGGAAACCAGGACUGUGGACUCUUGCCUGUUCUGAACUGACUAGGUAGUUGCUUCUUUUGACCUAAGGAAUUUAAUAAAUUAAUAAA